UACGAAGGGGGCUAGCGUUGUUCGGAAUUACUGGGCGUAAAGCGCGCGUAGGCGGAGACUUAAGUCAGGGGUGAAAUCCCGAGGCUCAACCUCGGAACGGCCUUUGAUACUGGGUCUCUGGAGUCCGGAAGAGGUUGGUGGAAUUCCGAGUGUAGAGGUGAAAUUCGUAGAUAUUCGGAGGAACACCAGAGGCGAAGGCGGCCAACUGGUCCGGUACUGACGCUGAGGCGCGAAAGCGUGGGGAGCAAACAGG
rnacentral:rRNA from 1 species